UAUCCCCUACAAAUUUCUCCUAUUUUACCCUCUUCCUAACUAUAUCUGUAAUUUAAAGUUUCACAUAUUCUUUUGAAAAUUGUUUUCAUUGUUUACUCACUUUUUAAGAAAAGCAAAUGGGAACAUACUACCACUGUUUGGCCCCUUUCAAAAAUUUUAUAUCUGAGGAAUCUUCCAUAUUGUUGUGGACAUCUACCUACCUGAUUCUUUUAUUAACUACCUUUUAUUUCAUUUUAUGAUCAUGCUAUCAUUAAUAGGCCCCUAUGAUGAAUAUAUAAGUUGUUUCCAGUUUUUUUUUUUUGUCAUUGAGAACAGUUCACAUAUGUAUCUUGUUGUCUUUUCCAAGUAUAUCUUUAAGGCAAAUUCUUAGCAGUGGAGUUGCUAGGUCCAUUGCGUCUAUGGUUU
rnacentral:lncRNA from 1 species